rnacentral:lncRNA from 1 species
AUGUUUUACUUGACGCUGGAAUCUUACCUUGUACUCUCACAUUUACAUGGAAGUAUAGCUUAUUUCACCAAUUAUACUGUCUAUCAAAAGCAGAAGUAGUUACUUACACCUGAAAAUUUGUACUGAGAAUGUAACUGUGAAUAUGUUUAAGAAAGUAUACUUAAAGCAGAAAUCCAAGGAAGUAUAUUUAAAUCAAAGCAAGAAAUCCCAUUUCCAAAUGGCAAUAAAGCAUGUGUUACAUAGAAUCAGUGCAUGA